rnacentral:rRNA from 1 species
AACUAACGCUGGCGGCGUGCCUAACACAUGCAAGUCGUACGAGAAAGCCGGCUUCGGCUGGUGAGUAAAGUGGCGCACGGGUGAGUAACGCGUGGAUAAUCUGCCCUUAAGUGUGGAAUAACGUACCGAAAGGUGCGCUAAUACCGCAUAAUGCCUGGCAACACAAGUUGUCCGGCCAAAGAAGGCCUCUGUUUACAAGCUUUCGCUUCAGGAUGAGUCCGCGUACCAUUAGCUUGUUGGUGGGGUAAUGGCCUACCAAGGCUGCGAUGGUUAGCUGGUCUGAGAGGAUGAUCAGCCACACUGGAACUGAGACACGGUCCAGACUCCUACGGGAGCAGCAGUGAGGAAUAUUGCGCAAUGGGGCAACCCUGACGCAGCAACGCCGCGUGAGUGAGGAAGGUUUUCGGACUGUAAAGCUCUGUCGAGCGGGAAGAAGUGUACCAUGGCUAAUAUCCAUGAUAUUUGACGGUACCGCUAGAGGAAG